rnacentral:rRNA from 1 species
UACAGAGGUCCCAAGCGUUGUUCGGAUUCAUUGGGCGUAAAGGGUGCGUAGGCGGCGCGGUAAGUCGGGUGUGAAAUCUCGGAGCUUAACUCCGAAACUGCAUUCGAUACUGCCGUGCUUGAGGACUGGAGAGGAGACUGGAAUUUACGGUGUAGCGGUGAAAUGCGUAGAUAUCGUAAGGAAGACCAGUGGCGAAGGCGAGUCUCUGGACAUUUCCUGACGCUGAGGCACGAAAGCCAGGGGAGCAAACGGG